UCAGCAAGAAGCAGCUCUUUCGUUCCUUCAGCAAAAGGUUAAUUCCUGUCGGGCUGCGUAGGGAGCUUUCGCCACAUUUCUGUUCGGCGCUUUUUUUUUUUUCUUUUUAUUUAUUUUCUCCACUCCCGAGCGGCGGCACAAGCGGACGUCGCUGAGCGCGAGCUGCCCUCAGAGCCCGCGCACAAACCUGCGGGUUUUUUUCACACAAAGUAUUACAAGCGCUGCUGCUUGUAAAGAACCAAGAAUAACACGACCAUUUGGCAUAACGGUGGACAGUUCAUAUUGUUCAUGCACUAGCAUCAGCUCUGCAAUCAAGAUGAAAUUCACAAUUGUGACUACCGUCCUCCUUGGACUCCUGCUGACUCCAGCCCUUG